GGGCCCGUAGUUCAACGGUAGAACGGCGCAUUCGCAUUGCACAAAUGGGGGUUCAAUUCCCCCCGGGUCCA
rfam:Candidatus Collierbacteria bacterium RIFCSPHIGHO2_01_FTLL_50_25 rifcsphigho2_01_scaffold_47885, whole genome shotgun sequence.